AUACGAAGGGGGGCUAGCGUUGCUCGGAAUGACUGGGCGUAAAGGGCGUGUAGGUCGGUUUUGACAGUCAGAUGUGAAAUCCCCGGGCUUAACCUGGGAGCUGCAUUUGAGACGUUAAGACUAGAGUGUGAGAGAGGGUUGUGGAAUUCCCAGUGUAGAGGUGAAAUUCGUAGAUAUUGGGAAGAACACCGGUGGCGAAGGCGGCAACCUGGCUCAUUACUGACGCUGAGGCGCGAAAGCGUGGGGAGC
rnacentral:rRNA from 1 species